CCUACGGGCGGCAGCAGUGGGGAAUUUUGGACAAUGGGGGCAACCCUGAUCCAGCCAUUCCGCGUGAGUGAAGAAGGCCUUCGGGUUGUAAAGCUCUUUCGGCCGGGAAGAAAUCGCAUCUCCUAAUACGGGGUGUGGAUGACGGUACCGGAAGAAGAAGCACCGGCUAACUACGUGCCAGCAGCCGCGGUAAUACGUAGGGUGCGAGCGUUAAUCGGAAUUACUGGGCGUAAAGCACUAGCAGAGAUGUGAAAUCCCCGGGCUUAACCUGGGAACUGCGUUUGUGACUGGUGGGCUUGAGUGCGGCAGAGGGGGGUGGAAUUCCACGUGUAGCAGUGAAAUGCGUAGAGAUGUGGAGGAACACCGAUGGCGAAGGCAGCCCCCUGGGUCGACACUGACGCUCAUGCACGAAAGCGUGGGGAGCAAACAGGAUUAGAUACCCGAGUAGUC
rnacentral:rRNA from 1 species